rnacentral:rRNA from 1 species
UACAGAGGUCUCAAGCGUUGUCCGGAUUUAUUGGGCGUAAAGAGCGUGUAGGCGGCCAGAUAGGUCCGUUGUGAAAACUCGAGGCUCAACCUCGAGACGCCGAUGGAAACCAUUUGGCUAGAGUCCGGAAGAGGAGAGUGGAAUUCCUGGUGUAGCGGUGAAAUGCGCAGAUAUCAGGAAGAACACCCGUGGCUAAGGCGGCUCUCUAGUACGGUACUGACGCUGAGACGCGAAAGCGUGGGGAGCGAACAGG